UCUAACAUUUUCUUCUUACUUUUGCAUCCGCUAUUUCAUAUCACUCUCUCUGACAUCCGUUUCGCUUAGUUUCUCUCUUGAAGUUUGCUGAUUUUCAAUCACUAUUGCCCUCAAGUUCCACAAUAGUUUCCUCCGUAACUUUCAUUUGCCACACCCAACACUUUUUGGAGAAUAGACUGUAAUGCUCUAGGUCUCCAUCUUCAAUCAAGGUUAUUCAGGGAGAUUGAGAUGCAUGUGUAGAAAUAAUUGAAAAGCCAUAUGUGGGAGAAAAACUAAGCUACUAAUGGCUUCUCAUGUGCUAAAGUUGCAAUAGUGUGUUUUGGCUUAACAUGCUGUCCAGAAACACAAUUUAUGCUCUGCUAGCAACCAAAGAAAGUGGGCUAAGAUGGAGUAGAAGCAUGCAAGAGAUGGUAGUUUGACAAUAAUUAUCAUUUUUAGGGGAUGCUACAAAUUACUGGACAUGGACCACCUAGAUAGCGUGGCUCAGAUGAGACUUCAUUGUAAGGUGGGAGCAAAUGGUUGUGAGUAUGGUUCGAACUAAAAUUUCCUUUACUGGGAGUUUGUUUUGUGUGAGAAGUGAAGUGUCAUCUUCAAAUCUCAACUACUACAGACCACCUAUGACAUGGUUGAGACGUUGUACAGAAAAUGACAAGAUGAGGCAAUCCUAAUAUUGGAUUUAUGUUAUAGCACAAGUGAAAUUUCUUUUGUAACAUAUGCUAAGUUAUAAUUAUUGGGGAAUCAGCUUAUCAAAGUGAACAUGAACAAUCUAACGCUUCUCUUUAAAACCUCUCUCAUAAGCAAGCUUAAGAAUGUAAUCUUCAACUUUGUUUUGCAUGCAUAAAAUAACAUGAAUUAUAUUAUAUUAAUGUUGACUCAGUUUGCUGG